rnacentral:rRNA from 1 species
CCGGCGCACGGGUCGAGUAACGCGUAUGCGACCUGCCCGUUGCAGGGGGGAUAAUCGGGAGAAAUCCCGUCUAAUACCGCGUAACGCCGCGGGGCUGCAUGGCCCUGCGGCCAAAGGGAGCGAUUCCGGCAACGGAUGGGCAUGCGUGACAUUAGCUAGUUGGCGGGGCAACGGCCCACCAAGGCGACGAUGUCUAGGGGUUCUGAGAGGAAGGUCCCCCACACUGGUACUGAGACACGGACCAGACUCCUACGGAAGGCAGCAG